UGAGUAACCUGCCCUUAACUCUGGGAUAAGCCUGGGAAACUGGGUCUAAUACCGGAUAUGACUCCUCAUCGCAUGGUGGGGGGUGGAAAGCUUUAUUGUGGUUUUGGAUGGACUCGCGGCCUAUCAGCUUGUCGGUGAGGUAAUGGCUCACCAAGGCGACGACGGGUAGCCGGCCUGAGAGGGUGACCGGCCACACUGGGACUGAGACACGGCCCAGACUCCUACGGGAGGCAG
rnacentral:rRNA from 1 species